GACGAACCGUGCGAACGUUGUUCGGAAUCACUGGGCUUAAAGCGCGCGCAGGCGGUCUGCCAAGUUCGGAGUGACAGUUUCCGGCUUAACUGGGAAAGGUCUUCGAAAACUGGUGGACUUGAGUACUUGAGGGGGAGACGGAAUUCCGGGUGGAGCGGUGAAAUGCGUAGAGAUCCGGAGGAACACCGAAGGCGAAGGCAGCUCCGUGG
rnacentral:rRNA from 1 species